GAUGAAGAACGCAGCGAAAUGCGAUAAGUAAUGUGAAUUGCAGAAUUUAGUGAAUCAUCGAAUGUUUGAACGCACAUUGCGCCCGCCAGUAUUCUGGCGGGCAUGCCUGUUCGAGCGUCAUUACAACCCUCAGGCCCCCGGGCCUGGCGUUGGGGAUCGGCGGAAGCCCCCUGUGGGCACACGCCGUCCCUCAAAUACAGUGGCGGUCCCGCCGCAGCUUCCAUUGCGUAGUAGCUAACACCUCGCAACUGGAGAGCGGCGCGGCCAUGCCGUAAAACACCCAACUUCUGAAUGUUGACCUCGAAUCAGGUAGGAAUACCCGCUGAACUUAAGCAUAUCAAUAAGCGGAGGA
rnacentral:misc_RNA from 1 species